GUCCACGCCGUAAACGAUGGAUACUAGCUGUUGGGGGCAACUUCAGUGGCUAAGCGAAAGUGAUAAGUAUCCCACCUGGGGAGUACGUUCGCAAGAAUGAAACUCAAAGGAAUUGACGGGGGCCCGCACAAGCGGUGGAGCAUGUGGUUUAAUUCGAUGAUACGCGAGUAACCUUACCAAGGCUUAAAUGUAGAUUGACCGUUUUGGAAACAGAACUUUCGCAAGACAAUUUACAAGGUGCUGCAUGGUUGUCGU
rnacentral:rRNA from 1 species